GGGACAGUGGCUUAGUGGUAGAGUGCUUGCCUAGCAUGCAUGAGGCCCUGGGUUCGAUUCCUGGUACCA
rnacentral:tRNA from 1 species